AGAGAGAGAGAUGCAUUAAAGUCAAAUUAUAGUUGUAUUUCAGUGGCUUUUCCAACCAAGCUGUUCAUGAUGCCUGGAUUUCUGUUUUUAGUUCUCAUAUCCUAAAUAUUUGCUUCUAAAAAUGGACUAUGUUGCAAACUAAUUCAGUACAGGCUUGAUGGAUAUUUCUUUAUAAUGUAUCCCCUACACUUUUUUUGGUUGAGUCUGUCCUUCAAACCAUGUCGUAGGGCACACAUUCUCGACCUUGAGUACACAGAUGUUUUGGACUACAACUCCCAUCAUCCCCAGCCACUGUGGCUGAAAGCUGCGGAUGAUAGGAACUGUGAUCCACCAACAUCUGAAGACCCACGUUUGAGAACUCUUGCCCUAGAGUCUCUUAUAGAAGCGAUAGAUUAUAGCAUUAGAUUUAGAUAUAGAAGCGAUAAAUUAUAGCUCGUAGAUUUUUCUAUAGUGUCCUAGAGGAGAGCUUGGGCUGGCAACUUUCUGUUCAUAAUUUGCUUGGUCUGUUUUUAUGCUGCUUCUGAUUGGCUAUAGCAAGUUUAGCAAGCUCUUAGAAAACCUAGAAACUAAGACCUAGGGAAAUAAGAGCUGGUCUUGUGGUAGCAAGCAUGACUUUGCUAAGCAGGGACCUUUGCUAAGCAAAGGUCCCUUUGCUAAGCAGGGACCACCCUAGUUUGAAUUUGAAUGGGAGACAUGAUGUGUAAGCGCUGAAAGAUAUUCCCCUUAGGGGAUGAGGCCACUCUGGGAAGAGCAGAAAGAUUCCAAGCACCCUCCCUGGCAUCUCCAAGAUAGGGCUGAGAGAGACUUCUACUUGUAACCUUGGAGAUGCUGCUGCCAGUCUGUGUGGACAAUACGGAGCUAGAUGAACCAAGGGUCUGACUCAGUAGAAGGCAGCUUCCUCUGUUUGCGUGAAGGUCCUCAACCGUGAUCUGCUACUAGCCUCAUUUUCCCUUUCUCCUCUUAGUAAUAGCCUUACAACUUCGGCUAGGACUUCUGGGCAGAGGUAAAGUGCCACCCUCUGGCCUCACUUACACCUGCAUCUAUCAGAAGAUUAAGAGUUUCCCGAGGCACCGUAUCUCAGUGUGGUCACCACUUUAAGGGAGUGGCUGUGAUUUGGAUUCUCUGACACUUGUUCCUAUUUGAACAGACAUGUGACGGUUUAAUAGAAAAGUAUAUACAGAUAUAACCCGGUGAGCCUCAAGUGGUUUCACUUCACCACACCUUUGUCUGUGCCAAACUGCUUUGUUGAAACAAGUUAUACAAACAUCAGUCAUGGUUAACGUGCACUGGACUGACCUUCCUGCAGAACACACUUGUGGAAAAUUCAUAAAGGAGAAGAUGAUGCCUGGAAAUCUAAGAUGAGGAGGGAAAGGACUAGUGGCGUUCUUACCCAUGGACUUUGGGGCCGAAGUCCAGGGCCUCCACACCCCCUAAAGCUGCUGGGACACAUAGGGAUACCCAAAUGGCGUAGUGAGUGAUGAUGUCAUCCACUCCAAUUCAAGAUGGUGGCCACGUGAACAUCUGAGGCACAAGUGACACACAGGGACACCUCACUGGCGUAGCUUGUGAAGAUGUCAUCUACACCGAUUCAAGACGGCAGAUGCAUAAACUUUUGAGGCACAAGUGGGCUAACUUGUGAACCGCUUAACCAAUUUGAACCAAAUUUGUUACAGCUGCAGGGACACAUUGGGACACCUCAACGUCAAAGAUUGUGAUGAUGUCAUCCACCCCAAUUCAAGAUGGAGGAUAUGAAAACUUUUGAGGCUCAAGUGCACUAACUUGUGGACAAUCUAACUAAUUUGAACCAAAUUUGCUACUGCUGAAUGAAUACACAGGGAUGCCCCAAUGGUGUAGUUUGUGAUGAUGUCACCCACCCUGAUCCAAAAUGGCAGCUGCAUAAACUUUUGAGGCACACAGGGACACUCAAUGGUGCAGUUUGUAAUGAAGUCAUUCACACCGAUCCAAGAUGGCAGACACAUGAACAUUUGAGGCACAAGAGUUCUAACUUGUGGACCUCAAUUUGCACCAGAUUAGUCCAGAUGUAGAGACAGUGAAAGGAAAAUAGGCUGAUUACUUCUUACAAGAACAACUUGUUUUUUAAUUGAUUUUUUAAAAUUAAACAUUUUAUAUUGAUUUGUUUUUAACAUUUUGUGUUGUAAUUUGUUUCUCAUGCUUUAUGUCUUUUUAUGAGUUUUUUUUUAAAUGUUGUGUUGUAAGCCGCCCAGAGAACAAAUUGUUGUGGGGCAGCUAACAAAGUUUAGUUUCGUUGUUGUUGUUUUGAUAACUCUGUUUCAGCAGAAAAACAUGUCAAUGAUUCAACAGUCCCACACCUUCACUGAUUCAGUCUUGUGACAACAAAUGAGUCACUCUGGUUUUUGGUAAGGCUUUCCAGUGAUAAUUAUUUUUGUUUUAUUUUCUUCUUCUUCUGGCUGUUCCAGUAUACACAUGAAAAAAAUUAUACCAGCUAUAGCAGCAUAUGGGGUAUCCAGAUAUCCCGGCAUAAUGUCCACUGUGAGAAACAAAUAGAAAACGUAUCCUAUAAUUAGAGAAAAAGGGGAAAUUCACUAUUUCAUGCUGCCAAAAUGCUGAUAUAAUGAGGAGCAUGAACGUCACACCGCAAUUAGUACUAAGUCUUGCUCAUACAGGAGAGGAGGAGGCUAGGACCCAGAAGGGCUUUAUUCUAAGCACAACUCCUACUGUUUCGUGCAUAGAGUGUUCUAGUGAGACAUUCAAAACACCUUUCUGAUUUUUAAAAAAGUUAUCUGUGCAUGUUGCUACUCACCAUCUGAAUAAGCCCCAUGUAAGUAAGUAAGUAAUAAUUUUAUUGUUGUGAUCACAGGUCAUAACAUAACAUAAAGGUAAAGUGUACUGUCAAGUCGAUGUCAACUCCUGGAGGUUUUAUGCACGGCAGAUUUUAGUGCAGCUUUACCGGGAGGCUUUACUGCAAACUUAAAGCUGUCUCAAAAAACCGCUGAAAAUAGUGGAGGUUUUUUUUUACUCCGGAGAUAAAUCAGGCUACACUCGGGCACAGUGGAAAGCCCGAAUUGCAUGUGUGGACUGCUCCCCAAUAACUUGCAGGGACUUUGGGGGGAAAUCUGGCCAAUAUGUGUACUUGCACCCUCCAUUCUGGAGGAGAUGUGAGCUAAAAGCAAAAACCUCACAGUAAAACUGCUGUGCAUAAAACUUCCUGGCAACUACAGAGCCUUGUGGUUUUUCUUUGGUUUUUCUAAACAGGAGGUGUUUACCAUUGCCUCCUCCCACACAGUGUGAGAUGAUGCCUUUCAGCAUCUUCCUAUAUCGCUGCUGCCCGAUAUAGGUGAUUCCCAUAGUCUGGGAAACAUACCAGUGGGGAUUUGAACCAGCAACCUCUGGCUUGCUAAGCAAUCAUUUCCCCGCCGCACCAUUAGGUGGCUUGGACUAGCAUAGCAUAGCAUUAAAAAAUAACAUGAGAGAGAGAGAGAGAGAGGGAGAGGGAGAGAGAGAGAGGGAGAGAUGAGAAAGAACUCAGCAUACCACAGAAUUACUUCAACAGUCUACAAUUUAGGACACAGCAUGGCAGCUAUAAAUUUCUUUCUAAGUUAAAAAAAGAAACUAAAGCAAAACCGGCAACUUGACAAUUGACAUAGGGAAACACAUUGGCAAGAAGACAGGUCAAACAUUCCGCAUCUGAAUCCUUACUUUCUGAUGAAAAUGUUUUAAAUUUUAACUCCAUAGCCAAAUUUUGUUAUAUUGCUUUAAAGAUGUAUAAUGAGAACCUAUAGAGUUUUCUAUAAAUUGUCCUGCUGUUUGCAUGCAUGGAUUGUUUGGUCUAGGACCGUAAAUAAAACUUGACUUGACUUAUCUAUAA